rnacentral:tRNA from 1 species
AGCUCAGUCGGUUGAGCAUGGCGCUGACAAUGCCAAGGCCGUGGGUUCGAUUCGCAU